rnacentral:rRNA from 1 species
AUUGAACGCUGGCGGCAGGCCUAACACAUGCAAGUCGAGCGAGCGGCGGACGGGUGAGUAAUGUCUGGGAAACUGCCUGAUGGAGGGGGAUAACUACUGGAAACGGUAGCUAAUACCGCAUACCAUCAGAUGUGUCCAGAUGGGAUUUGCUAGUAGGUGGGGUAACGGCUCACCUAGGCGACGAUCCCUAGCUGGUCUGAGAGGAUGACCAGCCACACUGGAACUGAGACACGGUCCAGACUCCUACGGGAGGCAGCGGUAGGGAAUAUUGCACAAUGGGCGCAGGCCUGAUGCAGCCAUGCCGCGUGUGUGAAGAAGGCCUUCGGGUUGUAAAGCACUUUCAGCGGGGAGGCGUUACCCGCAGAAGAAGCACCGGCUAACUCCGUGCCAACAGCCGCGGUAAUAC